CAGUGUGUGUGUUAGUGGAAGCGUCUGGAAAGGCGCGCGAUACAGGGUGACAGCCCCGUACACAAAAAUGCACAUGCUGUGAGCUCGAUGAGUAGGGCGGGACACGUGGUAUCCUGUCUGAAUAUGGGGGGACCAUCCUCCAAGGCUAAAUACUCCUGACUGACCGAUAGUGAACCAGUACCGUGAGGGAAAGGCGAAAAGAACCCCGGCGAGGGGAGUGAAAAAGAACCUGAAACCGUGUACGUACAAGCAGUGGGAGCACGCUUAGGCGUGUGACUGCGUACCUUUUGUAUAAUGGGUCAGCGACUUAUAUUCUGUAGCAAGGUUAACCGAAUAGGGGAGCCGAAGGGAAACCGAGUCUUAACUGGGCGUUAAGUUGCAGGGUAUAGACCCGAAACCCGGUGAUCUAGCCAUGGGCAGGUUGAAGGUUGGGUAACACUAACUGGAGGACCGAACCGACUAAUGUUGAAAAAUUAGCGGAUGACUUGUGGCUGGGGGUGAAAGGCCAAUCAAACCGGGAGAUAGCUGGUUCUCCCCGAAAGCUAUUUAGGUAGCGCCUCGUGAAUUCAUCUCCGGGGGUAGAGCACUGUUUCGGCAAGGGGGUCAUCCCGACUUACCAACCCGAUGCAAACUGCGAAUACCGGAGAAUGUUAUCACGGGAGACACACGGCGGGUGCUAACGUCCGUCGUGAAGAGGGAAACAACCCAGACCGCCAGCUAAGGUCCCAAAGUCAUGGUUAAGUGGGAAACGAUGUGGGAAGGCCCAGACAGCCAGGAUGUUGGCUUAGAAGCAGCCAUCAUUUAAAGAAAGCGUAAUAGCUCACUGGUCGAGUCGGCCUGCGCGGAAGAUGUAACGGGGCUAAACCAUGCACCGAAGCUGCGGCAGCGACGCUUAUGCGUUGUUGGGUA
rnacentral:rRNA from 1 species